rnacentral:rRNA from 1 species
GAGUUUGAUCGUGGCUCAGAUUGAACGCUGGCGGCAUGCCUUACACAUGCAAGUCGAACGGUAACAGGUCUUCGGAUGCUGACGAGUGGCGAACGGGUGAGUAAUACAUCGGAACGUGCCCGAUCGUGGGGGGAUAACGAAGCGAAAGCUUUGCUAAUACCGCAUACGAUCUACGGAUGAAAGCAGGGGACCGCAAGGCCUUGCGCGAACGGAGCGGCCGAUGGCAGAUUAGGUAGUUGGUGGGAUAAAAGCUUACCAAGCCGACGAUCUGUAGCUGGUCUGAGAGGACGACCAGCCACACUGGGACUGAGACACGACCCAGACUCCUACGGGAGGCAGCAGUGGGGAAUUUUGGACAAUGGGCGAAAGCCUGAUCCAGCCAUGCCGCGUGCAGGAUGAAGGCCUCGGUUGUAAC